rnacentral:rRNA from 1 species
CCUACGGGUGGCUGCAGUGGGGAAUAUUGGACAAUGGGGGCAACCCUGAUCCAGCCAUGCCGCGUGUGUGAAGAAGGCCCUCGGGUUGUAAAGCACUUUCAGUGAGGAAGAACGCCUGGUGGUUAAUACCCAUCAGGAAAGACAUCACUCACAGAAGAAACACCGGCUAACUCCGUGCCAGCAGCCGCGGUAAUACGGAGGGUGCGAGCGUUAAUCGGAAUUACUGGGCGUAAAGCGCGCGUAGGUGGCUUGAUAAGCCGGUUGUGAAAGCCCCGGGCUCAACCUGGGAACGGCAUCCGGAACUGUCAAGCUAGAGUGCAGGAGAGGAAGGUAGAAUUCCCGGUGUAGCGGUGAAAUGCGUAGAGAUCGGGAGGAAUACCAGUGGCGAAGGCGGCCUUCUGGACUGACACUGACACUGAGGUGCGAAAGCGUGGGUAGCAAACAGGAUUAGAUACCCGAGUAGUC